GCAGUCGACGNNANNANGGGGGNAACCCUGGUGGCGAGUGGCGAACGGGUGAGUAAUACAUCGGAACGUGUCCUGUAGUGGGGGAUAGCCCGGCGAAAGCCGGAUUAAUACCGCAUACGAUCUACGGAAGAAAGCGGGGGACCGAAAGGCCUCGCGCUAUAGGGGCGGCCGAUGGCAGAUUAGCUAGUUGGUGGGGUAAAGGCCUACCAAGGCGACGAUCUGUAGCUGGUCUGAGAGGACGACCAGCCACACUGGGACUGAGACACGGCCCAGACUCCUACGGGAGGCAGCAGUGGGGAAUUUUGGACAAUGGGGGAAACCCUGAUCCAGCAAUGCCGCGUGUGUGAAGAAGGCCUUCGGGUUGUAAAGCACUUUUGUCCGGAAAGAAAACUUCUGCCCUAAUACGGUGGGAGGAUGACGGUACCGGAAGAAUAAGCACCGGCUAACUACGUGCCAGCAGCCGCGGUAAUACGUAGGGUGCGAGCGUUAAUCGGAAUUACUGGGCGUAAAGCGUGCGCAGGCGGUUCGUUAAGACAGAUGUGAAAUCCCCGGGCUUAACCUGGGAACUGCAUUUGUGACUGGCGAGCUAGAGUAUGGCAGAGGGGGGUAGAAUUCCACGUGUAGCAGUGAAAUGCGUAGAGAUGUGGAGGAAUACCGAUGGCGAAGGCAGCCCCCUGGGCCAAUACUGACGCUCAUGCACGAAAGCGUGGGGAGCAANCAGGAUUAGAUACCCUGGUAGUCCACGCCCUAANCGAUGUCAACUAGUUGUUGGGGAUUCAUUUCCUUAGUAACGUAGCUAACGCGUGAAGUUGACCGCCUGGGGAGUACGGUCGCAAGAUUAAAACUCAANGGAAUUGACGGGGACCCGCACAAGCGGUGGAUGAUGUGGAUUAAUUCGAUGCAACGCGAAAAACCUUACCUACCCUUGACAUGGUCGGAACCCUGCUGAAAGGUGGGGGUGCUCGAAAGAGAACCGAUACACAGGUGCUGCAUGGCUGUCGUCAGCUCGUGUCGUGAGAUGUUGGGUUAAGUCCCGCAACGAGCGCAACCCUUGUCCUUAGUUGCUACGCAAGANCACUCUAAGGNNACUGCCGGUGACAAACCGGNNNAAGGUGGGGA
rnacentral:rRNA from 1 species